GAAGGAUCAUUAAAGAGUAAGGGUGCUCAGCGCCCGACCUCCAACCCUUUGUUGUUAAAACUACCUUGUUGCUUUGGCGGGACCGCUCGGUUCCGAGCCGCUGGGGAUUCGUCCCAGGCGAGUGCCCGCCAGAGUUAAACCAAACUCUUGUUAUUAAACCGGUCGUCUGAGUUAAAAUUUUGAAUAUAUCAAAACUUUCAACAACGGAUCUCUUGGUUCUCGCAUCGAUGAAGAACGCAGCGAAAUGCGAUAAGUAAUGUGAAUUGCAGAAUUCAGUGAAUCAUCGAAUCUUUGAACGCACAUUGCGCCCCUUGGUAUUCCGAGGGGCAUGCCUGUUCGAGCGUCAUUACACCACUCAAGCUAUGCUUGGUAUUGGGUGCCGUCCUUAGUUGGGCGCGCCUUAAAGACCUCGGCGAGGCCACUCCGGCUUUAGGCGUAGUAGAAUUUAUUCGAACGUCUGUCAAAGGAGAGGAACUCUGCCGAUUGAAACCUUUAUUUUUCUAGGUUGACCUCGGAUCAGGUAGGGAUACCCGCUGAACUUAA
rnacentral:misc_RNA from 1 species